rnacentral:rRNA from 1 species
UAACGCGUGAGGAACCUGCCUCAAAGAGGGGAACAACAGUUGGAAACGACUGCUAAUACCGCAUAAGCCCACGACCCGGCAUCGGGUAGAGGGAAAAGGAGCAAUCCGCUUUGAGAUGGCCUCGCGUCCGAUUAGCUAGUUGGUGAGGUAACGGCCCACCAAGGCGACGAUCGGUAGCCGGACUGAGAGGUUGAACGGCCACAUUGGGACUGAGACACGGCCCAGACUCCUACGGGAGGCAGCAGUGGGGAAUAUUGCACAAUGGGGGAAACCCUGAUGCAGCGACGCCGCGUGGAGGAAGAAGGUCUUCGGAUUGUAAACUCCUGUUGUUGAGGAAGAUAAUGACNNUACUCAACAAGGAAGUGACGGCUAACUACGUGCCAGCAGCCGCGGUAAAACGUAGGUCACAAGCGUUGUCCGGAAUUACUGGGUGUAAAGGGAGCGCAGGCGGGAAGACAAGUUGGAAGUGAAAUCCAUGGGCUCAACCCAUGAACUGCUUUCAAAACUGUUUUUCUUGAGUAGUGCAGAGGUAGGCGGAAUUCCCGGUGUAGCGGUGGAAUGCGUAGAUAUCGGGAGGAACACCAGUGGCGAAGGCGGCCUACUGGGCACCAACUGACGCUGAGGCUCGAAAGUGUGGGUAGCAAACAGGAUUAGAUACCCUGGUAGUCCACACUGUAAACGAUGAUUACUAGGUGU